CCUACGGGUGACAGCAGUGAGGAAUAUUGGUCAAUGGACGCAAGUCUGAACCAGCCAUGCCGCGUGAAGGAUGACGGCUCUAUGAGUUGUAAACUGCUUUUGUAAGAGGGUAAACCCCGAUACGUGUAUCGGGUUGACAGUAUCCUACGAAUAAGGAACGGCUAACUCCGUGCCAGCAGCCGCGGUAAUAAGGAGGGUCAGAGCCUUAUCCGGUUUUAUUGGGUUUAAAGGGUGCGUAGGCGGUUUGAUAAGUUAUAGGUGAAAUGUCGGGGCUCAACCCCGUCACUGCCUCUAAUACUGUUGGACUAGAGAAUAGUUGCGGUAGGCGGAAUGUGUGGUGUAGCGGUGAAAUGCUUAGAGAUCAGACAGAACACCGAUUGCGAAGGCAGCUUACCAAACUAUAUCUGACGUUGAGGCACGAAAGCGUGGGUAGCAAACAGGAUUAGAUACCCCGGUAGUC
rnacentral:rRNA from 1 species